UUUCGUGGAUGAUGAGAAGUUGAAAUCAAUCAGUUAUCCCUGUCUGAUAUAAUAUAUGCUGAUUUUUCUAUGCUCUGACACUAUC